GUUUUCAGAUGAGUGCAUCAGAUUUUUUUCCCUCUUCGGCCUAAAGAGGAAUUACCAUCAGCCAUCACCAGGAAGAGCAAGUUAACUUUUCAGGUUGUUUCUCAGAGACCAUUUAAAGUCUGUGCUAUAGAGUAGGCAUGGCUCCAGUUCCAGAAGGAAGACUUGGGUCAAGUAGCUCACAGGCAAAUGACUUAAAUGCUUCUUAUAAGAUACUACCUGAAACAAUCUCUGCUUAAAACAUCCGAUCUCCAUAUUGUCGGAUCUUCCUAUAACUCUGGGAUGGCAGCUUUUAGUAGCAGCUAAAGAUGUUCUUACAAGGAAAGGAUCUAGUACAUGACCUGUCACACAGCUGGAUCUCAAGAAUGUUUGUUCCAAUCCUGAAACAGGCAAAAAUGUUGAGAGUCAAGAAAGAGAGAAAGGAAAGAGGUCUUAAAAUGGUAACAGCUAUUAUUACUUGAGUACUAAUAUUGAUCUUUCUGUUCAUUUUAUAAGUGACACUUCAAAUCAGGUCAUACUUUCCAAGUCUAGCAAAUAGAAUUCAGAAAGGGAAUAUCGUCUCUGUUAUUCUGUCUAUUGCCAUAAGAAUCCAGGAAAAUCAGAGAGAAAUCAAAACAUGACUAAGAAAUGUGACAUCUUAUAAACUUUUUUGACCUACUUUGUCAGAAUUUUCAUAGGUUUACCUUUGGUUUCAGCUAAAACAUCCUUAUUUUGUCUAAGUAGGCCAUCCCAAUUCUUCCUAACUGUAAAUUCAGCUCAUGCUCUCAGAAUAGGAUCCUUUCCCCCUAAGGCCUUUGCUUUCCAUUUAAUACCCUCUGAUACUUUUCUCCAAAAUCCCUAUAACAAAUAUUAACUUACAUGCAAGGAAAGCAAGCAGAGUUUCAAAAUAGGCCAGGGGUGGCAUUCUUAAAAAUAACUCUGAGGAACAACAUUUGUAUCCAAUAAAAACAUGAGCAGAAUUGAAAAUACUUAUGGUGUGGGACUUGUACAUUUAUCUGCUCUUUGAAAAGGUAAAAUAAACUGAAAAAUUCCAUAAAAAUCCAAACCAAAAGUCACCUGCCAUCACCACCACUCUGCCCUUUCCAAUAAACACUUAUUGGCAGAAGCAGGAGGGAAGUCUAUGUUUCUUGCCUCUUGAAGUGACAAGCACAUUCUUUCCUCAUUCACCAAGCUGCUUUUCUCCCUCCAAAGCUCCAGCUGUUCUCAAAACCCAGACAUUGUUCCCUUCACUGGCUGGCCUCUAGCUCUAACUCUCAGCCAAGACUGCUUCUCCCUGAAACCUCUCAGGGACACUAACAGCCAGGACUUGGAAGGCUGUGCCUACUUAAAGAAAGUUGAGUUUUUGGCAGGGAGAGAAAGAGGGAGAGAAAGGGGGAGAGAGAUGAAUGGGAAACACUUUGUGUCAGCACAAAAACUCAAACAAUCGUGUUUGGACAAUGCCUGGUGCUCUGAGGCUGCCAAGUGAUGGUUGAUGAAUCUCAUAGUGGUUUUCAGAUUUUGAGGCUGUGGGAUCUUUUCUCAUUGUUGUACACAGUCUGGGACCCCCAAGUUCUACUGUGGAAAAUAUGAAAUACUUACAAGAUAAAUAUGCCAAUUAUGACUACAAUUUCUUUCUGUUAUCAUAUGAAUAUGAACACCCAUAGGACCAUGAGAUAUUUGGAGAGGCGGGGGCGUGGAUUUUUAAACCCUUUCAUGUAUAUAAAUAAGCUCCCCAAAGGACAAUGUGAAUUAAUUCUUCCUCAAAGAUUAUAAGAAGUGGCUUAUUUAUGUUUCUCCAAAUUAAUAUUCUUCCUUCAUUGGUCGUAAGUGUGAUGGUGAUGGGAGAAAAGGAAUAAAAGGCACAUUUGUUCACUUCCAAGUCCAAUGAAAUCAACACUCAGAAGAAAAGGCAAAUACCUGCAACUUUUUAGAAAUUCUGGUUUUUAGAAAAUGUUAAAGCUGUCCUAUACUCAAACUAUCCUGACCUGGCUAGUAACCAAGAAUCAUUUUUUUAACUUUACACAAAGCUGUUAAUCACUGUCUACAGCACUUCUUGAAAUUACAACACAUUGACUUGUCAUGACAUUCAGAAGAGAUGUUAGCCAAAGACUCACCAGUUGAACUAGUUAGAAUAUAGAUUUGUUAAUGUGUGAAAAGGACCUAAAAACAGAGGAAAGACUAGUUUCUUUCUCACUCUCAUAACGGUAUGACUGCGCACCAUGCAGAGCCAAGAAUUCUGGCUGUUUCUAUCUGUUUCACCAUCCCAAGGACAUCUCUGUCAUCUGCAUGGUCUAAGAUGAUCUUCAUUUCAGCCAAGAGAAGUAGAAAAAAGGAAAAAAAAAAGGGAGAGUUCACCACUUCCUUGUAAGAAAAUUUGCACGUAUCAUUCCCACCUACAUUCCACCAACCAUAACAAGGUCAUGUGGCCAUAGUCUGAAAAAAUAUUCUUUAUUUUGGGCAUCCAUGUGCCAGCUAAAUAUCAAGAAAUCUAUUGAUUUAGCAUAAGAAUUGGCAAGCUAUAUCCAUGAGCCAAAUCUGGUUUUAAGUGAGCUGCAAGCUAAGAAUAGUUUUUACAUUUUUAAGUGGUUAAAAGAAAAUCAAAAGAAUAAUAAUAUUUUGUGAUGUGAAAAUUAUGUGAAACUCAAAUUUCAGUGUCCAUAAAUACAGUAGUACCCACUCAUCCACAGUUUCUGCUUCCAUGGUUUCAGUUACCCUACGUUCAACCGUGCUGGGAAAAUAUUAAAUAAAAAAUUCCAGAAGUAAGCAAUUUGUGAGUUUUAUAUUGUGUGCUGUACUGAGUAGUAGGAUGAAAUCUUGUGCUGCCCUGCUUCAUCCUGCCCAGGAUGUGAAUCAUCCCUUUGUCCAGUGUAUCUGCACUGUAGAUGCUACAUUACUCAUUAGUCACUUAGUAGCCAUCUCAGUUAUCAGAUCAACUGGCCAUUUUGUGGUAUCCCAGUGCUUUUGUUCAAGUAAUCCUUAUUUUACUUAGUAAUGGCCCCAAAGCACAAGAGUAGUGAUACCGGCAAUUCAGAUGUGCCAAAGAUCAGCUGUAAAGUGCUUCCUUUACAUGAAAAGGUAAAAGCUCUGGACUCAGGAAAGAAAACAAAUUGUAUGCUGACGGUGCUAAGAUCUACAGUAAGAAUGGGCCUUCUAUUGAUGAAAUUGUGAAGAGUAUAUUGUUAUAAUUAUUCUAUUUUUAGUUAUUGUUCAUCUUUUACUGUGUCUAAUUUAUAAAUUAAAUCUUAUCAUAGGUAUGUAUAGGAUAAAAAUAUAGUGUUUAUAGGGUUAAUACUAUCUAUGGUUUCAGACACGCUUGGGGCUCUUGGAAUGUCUCCCCUUCAGAUCAGAGGGACUACCGUAAAUUUUUAUUAGAAGGGAGCCAUGGUCCAUUUACAUGUUGUCUAUGGCUGCUUUUGUGCUACAAUGGCAGAGUUGAAUAGUUGUGACAGACAUCAUAUGGCCCACAAAGCCUAAAAUGUUUAUUAUUUGGCCCUUUAUUUAAAACAUUUUUCCGACUUCACUUUGGAGGAAAGAAUAAAUCAGGUAUUGCUGGACAACUAGCUAACUCAGCCAUACCAAAGUGGUAAAAUUGAUUGGAAAAGGGGGUGGGCUUUGAAAGGGGUUGCAAAUGAGCUGUAUUUGUUUAAAAGCCUUUAAUAUAGUAGCAUUGUUUAUCCAUUUAUGCAUUGAAAAUUACCCCAAAACUUAGUGGUUUAAAACAAUAAAAGUGUAUUAUUCAGUUUCUGUGAGUCAAGAAUUCAAGAGUGGCUUAUUUGGGUGGCCCUGGCUCAGAUUCUCUCAUAAAGUUGCAGUUAGGAUGUUGGCAUGGGAUAAAGUCUCAUGUGAAGGGUUGACUGGGGCUGGAGAAGCAACUUCCAGAUUGAUCAUUCACGUGGAAGCUAGCAGGAGGCAUCAGGUGCUUGCCACAUGGGCUUGUCCUGCAUGGCUGCUAGCUUCUUCCACAGUGAAUUACGAGACAGAGAGACAGAGUAAGCAGUAAGCCACAGUGCCUUUUAUAUCAUCUUCAAAGUCUCAUGUUGUCACUUUCAUUAUAUUAUUUUCAUUAGAAGAAAUUCAUUAAGCCUACUCCAGCCCACACUCAAGGUAAGGAGAAUUAUCUUCCACCUACUGAAGGGAAGAAUGUCAAAUAAUUUGGGGGCAUUUAAAAAUCAUCACAACAGUAUUUGAGAUUGUUUUAAAAAGCAGAUAAUUUGUCUUCAGAUAAUGCUACAGACAUGAGGCUAGUGAUUAUGAAAUAAGCCUAAGUUAUUUGACCAGGAGAAAAGGAUAGAGGCUUAUGUUAGAGAUGGCAAUCAGGUUUUAGCUCUCUCACCUACCACAAUUAAUUGGUAGUAGUUGCUUAGAGUACUAUGUUGAUAAGGAUUCUGAUUAGUAGCUAUCAAAUACACAUAUUUUCUAUCAGAGUAAAAAAACAAAAGUUCAAAUAAUGAGAAUUUGGAGAAAAAGCAAUUUAUGAAGCAUGUCAAAGUCUCCAGAAAGCUUAUAAAACCAUGGCUCUUGGGCAGCUUGUCCAGGAUGUUUCUCUGGAGUCCUGGUUUCCCAGGAGAGAUUCCCUUUCUCCUUCCCUCCCUUCCUUCCAUCAAACCAUCCUUCCUUCAACAAGCACUUAUUGAGUACCUAUGUUUUAGACAUAGGUAUUCUCAGCUGGGUGCAGUGGCUCACGUUUGUAAUCUCAGUGCUUUGGGAGGCCAACGUGGGAGGAUUCCUUGAGGCCAGGAGUCUGAGAAUAGCUUGGGCAAUAUGAUGAGACCCCAUCUCUAAAAAUAAAUAAAUAAAUUUAAAUUUAAAAUAAGUCAUAGGUACUCUGGCUGCCAGAGAUAGAAUAAGAAACUAGAUAAAUAUCUCCCUCUCAUGGUAAAAUACAAAUUUCUGUCUUCUGUAAAAUGUCUGAAAUUUUAUUUUCCUUUUAAGAAGCCAUACAUAUUAUUUCUGAUUACCAUCUCAUUACACUAGAUAUUUUAGAUUAACAUUAAAUAAUAGUGGUGAUAAUUCUUGCUUCCAAUCCCUCUAUUGCAGGGUUUACCAGAAUAUGCAUCAUGUAACAGCAUUUCCACUGGGUGUUAAUAGACCUCAUUUGAAUAGAAGGGUUUCAUGAUCAUAUAAGGCUGGGAAUGCUGAAUUUUAAAAUGUUAAACAGAUUUGUCUACUGUAGGCAACUUUAAUGUGCCCAUGGUCCAAAAAGAUGGUGUAACAUGCUAUACUCCCCAAAGUUAUUUGAGUUUAAAAUGUUGUGUGUUUUUGUUUUGCUUUUACAAAACGCUUGUUCAGGUGGUCUGGAAAAUCCUGCAGGAGGAAAUCUAAAGUCAUUAAGUUUCUUUAUUUCCCUUUCAGUCACAUCAGCUCUCUUUUGUUUCCCUAAGAUUGUAGAGUUCAUUGAAACACAUAAAUGUCCAUUUCUACAACAAUAUACAAAUCCUAGCUAGAAAGGAAAUAGUGGUAAUUACUCUCAUGUAGUAAUUAUUUAAUGUCUGGGUAUUUUAAAACCAAACAAGUAUUUAAAAACACAUAACAUCAUUAUAAAUUCAUUACAAAUAUAUAGGAUGUUUGCACAUACAUACAAUUAUAUAAAGAAAUGUGUGUAUGUGUGUGGUGUGUCUCUGUCUGUGUGUGUGUGGGGUGUGUGUGUGUGUGUGUGUGUGUGUGUGUGUAACACUUUGGAGUCAAAACAACUCUCCAGUUACCUAGAAAUAUAUAUUUAUUAAACGUGCACAAUUGUCAGACAACUUAUUAGUCAUUAAAUACAAUAAUGAGAAAGAGAGAAUGCAUUACAAAUGUUAAUUCAUUCAUAUAAUUAAUAGCUCAAAGGAUUGUAGGGAGAAAAUCACUAAGCACAUCAUUACCAUAAUGGCUAGCUCAUAAAUAAAGUACAGAAUUCAAAAUGAGGACAUGUCAAGGGCUCUGCACCAUUUAGGAUUUAUGUGUACUGUAUGUAACAGAUAUCUGAUGACAGCGGCUUAACCAAACAGCCUCGCAUAAUUUGCCUUCCAUAAAAAGGAAGUGCAGAGAAAAGCUGUGCAGUGGGGUCAUGGUGUCAGCAGUGGCGCACGAUCUAUUUCCUUGUCACUCUAUCAUUCUUAUUAUGGGACUUAACCUCUCAUCUUAGCUGUGGGACGGUCUCAAGUGGACUAUUACAUUCAACCUCACUAUCUUUUUUUCAAG
rnacentral:lncRNA from 10 species